UACGUAGGGUGCGAGCGUUGUCCGGAAUUAUUGGGCGUAAAGGGCUCGUAGGCGGCCAACUAAGUCAUACGUGAAAUCCCUCGGCUUAACCGGGGAACUGCGUCUGAUACUGGAUGGCUUGAGUUCGGGAGAGGGAUGCGGAAUUCCAGGUGUAGCGGUGAAAAUGCGUAGAUAUCUGGAGGAACACCGGUGGCGAAGGCGGCAUCCUGGACCGAUACUGACGCUGAGGAGCGAAAGCCAGGGGAGCAAACGGGG
rnacentral:rRNA from 1 species